rnacentral:tRNA from 1 species
GAAGGUAUAGCUCAGCGGCGCAGGGCAUGCCUGGCAAGUAUGAGGUCCUGAGUUCGAUUCUCAGUACCCACC